CCACUUUCAUAGGCUUUCACAUGACCAAAGGUGCUUUGCGGUUUGCACCCACGAAACCAGAAUGUCGCUAAAAGGGCCAGUAAAACACAGGUGUUGAGGACCUAAGGAGGCCAGUGCUACUUAAAUAGGGGACGGGAUAGGCUGCAUUUCUACCUUGCAUAUGGUUUUGAGUGCCAAAGUACCAAGAUGCAGAUAUAUUUCCACUUCCUUCCAUUCAGUACUUUCAUGAAAUGCAGGCUGGUCCAACACCAGUAGCAGUUCUUGUAUAUCUUGCGACUUUAGCAUUUGGGCUCUUACAUAUCUUAGCCGUGUGCCAUUUGUCCCAGCCUAAGGUUCUAUGACAGAUUGCACCAAAUUUCUUAUCCUCGGUAAAUCUAUUCCGACAAAUAACAAGAAAUUAGAAGUAUGGGUUGAGUAAGACAAAUUUACAGUCAAUUUUGUCACAUCAUUACCAAGUCACAACUCAUUUGAUGACCAAGGACAUUAAUUUAGUCCACCGGGGUUAAUGUAAGCUACAAG